UGUGUGCUUUUGAGGACUAGGGUGUUAGC
rnacentral:piRNA from 1 species